AUGGCCGCAGACACAGUUCUGGCCAGAGACUUAAGUGGAAGUCUGCUUUUGCUUUCCUGACAAAAGAGAGGAGUGUAGCUGGCGCCAGCCCUUCUUCCACCUGGCACACCGGUGGGAGGCUGGACCGGUGGCAGCCAUCUUGCAAAAAUGAGGCAACACAUGUGGGAUGAAAGUCAACUCGCCCACGAUGGUGAAGCAGAAAGGCAGCAACUGCCCGGAUGGAAAGACCACAUUUCGGCCUCCCUUGCAGCUGGGAGCGACCUAUGCAAUGUCAGAUGCUACUGGGUGGGACUGCCUGGAAAGUUCUAGAAAGGAACCCUGGGCCCUGAGAGGGACGGAUUCCACUGCUUCCUUGGAUCCUGGGGAUGGGCACAUGUUCCUCCUGGCCAGGGGCUAGCUCAAGACGGGCCCUGUGACCAAAGCCCGGACGGCAGGCAUUAGCCCCAGCCUCCUGCUGGAACGCCAGGGAGCAGACAUUCUCUUUCCACUGCUAAGCACAAAGGAGAGUCAUCGUGAGACUGGCAGGGUUAUGAUAGCUAAUAUUUACCGUGCGCUGGCUAAACACCAGCGUCACUCUUCCUAAGGCCAUGACAUAUGCCACCGCAGUCCUUAAGGCAACCCCUCGAACGGAAUACAGACAAGAAAACGGAAGACCUGACAGAUGAAGCGACUCCGCCAGGGCAUAGCUGCAAAGUGGCAGAAUGAAGACUUUGGUUGUAAAGUCCUACCCCAGAGCCCACACCCUGAUCCUUUCUCUGCCACCUGUCCACGAGCCUAGACCUGCCAAAGACCACUGCUAUCUGGGAAUGAAGGACGCUGAGACAGGAGAAAAGACACUCGGAGAGACAAACAGGUCUGAUAACACUGAGCCCCUGGGAUCCAGCCACACCUGAAACUGGACCCUCCGGAUGUGAAGUUAUUUGAGUCCAAAAAUUGCUCCUUGUGGACGCUGCUCGGACCAGGUCUCUGCCCGCUGACAUGAACAUGGCUGAGGCUCACAGCCCAUCUGACAGGUGCCCCAGGAAGCCCAGAGGGGCACCCCGUUUCUCAGGACCGUGAGCUCCCAAGGGGAAGGCUCGUCAGAUCUUCCUGCCUGUCCACCCCCGGCACAGCCAUGCCUCCAGCUGGAGCGCGGGAGGAUCUGGUCCAUCCUUCUGCUCUUGGGCAGCACCCUUCCCACACUCUUCCUCCACAGCACCGAGAGAAUCCCAAGGACUCUGAGGACCCCAAGACAAAGGACCUCCAUCCCACCCUCUCCUCCUUAGGAGUCAUCUUUUGGCUCGAACACAGGCAGGGCAACCUCAGGGAACCCCCCUCCCCAG